UACGUAGGGUGCGAGCGUUGUCCGGAAUUAUUGGGCGUAAAGAGCUCGUAGGCGGCCUGUCGCGUCUGCUGUGAAAUCCCGGGGCUUAACCCCGGGCGUGCAGUGGAUACGGGCUGGCUGGAGGCAGGCAGGGGAGAACGGAAUUCCAGGUGUAGCGGUGAAAUGCGCAGAUAUCAGGAGGAACACCGAUGGCGAAGGCAGGUCUCUGGGCCGAUACUGACGCUGAGGAGCGAAAGCGUGGGGAGCGAACAGG
rnacentral:rRNA from 1 species